CUACUGGAAACGGUAGCUAAUACCGCAUAACGUCGCAAGACCAAAGAGGGGGACCUUCGGGCCUCUUGCCAUCGGAUGUGCCCAGAUGGGAUUAGCUAGUAGGUGGGGUAACGGCUCACCUAGGCGACGAUCCCUAGCUGGUCUGAGAGGAUGACCAGCCACACUGGAACUGAGACACGGUCCAGACUCCUACGGGAGGCAGCAGUGGGGAAUAUUGCACAAUGGGCGCAAGCCUGAUGCAGCCAUGCCGCGUGUAUGAAGAAGGCCUUCGGGUUGUAAAGUACUUUCAGCGGGGAGGAAGGGAGUAAAGUUAAUACCUUUGCUCAUUGACGUUACCCGCAGAAGAAGCACCGGCUAACUCCGUGCCAGCAGCCGCGGUAAUACGGAGGGUGCAAGCGUUAAUCGGAAUUACUGGGCGUAAAGCGCACGCAGGCGGUUUG
rnacentral:rRNA from 1 species